rnacentral:rRNA from 1 species
AUUGAACGCUGGCGGCAGGCCUAACACAUGCAAGUCGAGCGGCAGCGGGAAAGUAGCUUGCUACUUUUGCCGGCGAGCGGCGGACGGGUGAGUAAUGCCUGGGAAAUUGCCCAGUCGAGGGGGAUAACAGUUGGAAACGACUGCUAAUACCGCAUACGCCCUACGGGGGAAAGCAGGGGACCUUCGGGCCUUGCGCGAUUGGAUAUGCCCAGGUGGGAUCAGCUAGUUGGUGAGGUAAUGGCUCACCAAGGCGACGAUCCCUAGCUGGUCUGAGAGGAUGAUCAGCCACACUGGAACUGAGACACGGUCCAGACUCCUACGGGAGGCAGCAGUGGGGAAUAUUGCACAAUGGGGGAAACCCUGAUGCAGCCAUGCCGCGUGUGUGAAGAAGGCCUUUGGGUUGUAAAGCACUUUCAGCGAGGAGGAAAGGUUGAUGCCUAAUACGUAUCAACUGUGACGUUACUCGCAGAAGAAGCACCGGCUAACUCCGUGCCAGCAGCCGCAGUAA